UACGUAGGGUGCAAGCGUUUGUCCGGAAUUAUUGGGCGUAAAGAGCUCGUAGGCGGUUUGUCGCGUCUGCUGUGAAAAUCCAGGGCUUAACCCUGGACCUGCAGUGGGUACGGGCAGACUGGAGUGCGGUAGGGGAGAUCGGAAUUCCUGGUGUAGCGGUGAAAUGCGCAGAUAUCAGGAGGAACACCGGUGGCGAAGGCGGGUCUCUGGGCCGAUACUGACGCUGAGGAGCGAAAGCGUGGGGAGCGAACAGG
rnacentral:rRNA from 1 species